GUCGACAUGGGAUAUUGGUGUGGUUCAAUUAGAUUACAAUGUCUCCACAUGAUCGUGAAGUUUUGCAAUUUGAUUGAGCCGUGCCAAUAUCACAUCUAAAGAA
rfam:Nicotiana sylvestris Nsyl_contig12027, whole genome shotgun sequence.